ACGUACUAUGGUUUCCGUCUAUGGACAGUUUAAAUAACACUGAAAAAGUUAGUUAUACCCUACAUAAUGAAUCAUCAAAAAUGGUGUACAUCUGGAUUUCUAAAGAGGCGGUCCGAUCUUUAUUCAAAGGAGUUCAAACACAUGGAAUACUCCACUAUAAAAUCACCCCUGAAAUGCUUACCCCCGACAAUCCGGGACUAAAUACUUCUUGCGCAGAGAAAGUUUGUGUCGGGCGUCUUGUACCAGAGCUCGAAGAGAAAUAUCCGAAUCAAUAUAUGGACUUGGACAUCUACAGUUUGGAGACGCCAAAUGUGAGUUUGAGAAGAAUUUGGCGGUGAUAAAAUUCUAUACAGUCAUGUUUGCAUACGUCCGGAAUCCAGAAAGCAACAUUUCUACACUGAUUGCUAAACUUGAUGGAAAUGCUGAGAUGCGAAUCAGAAACUUUAUGACCAAUUCUACUUUUCAGGGGAAAAUCGUUGCGUUUGAGCCAUAUCUAAAAAAAGUGGAGUCAUCUGUCCACGGUUUUGAUGUAAGUUUAUAAUCUGGAAUAG